UAAUACAUCGGAACGUGCCCAAUCGUGGGGGAUAACGUAGCGAAAGCUACGCUAAUACCGCAUACGAUCUACGGAUGAAAGCAGGGGACCCGCAAGGGCCUUGCGCGAAUGGAGCGGCCGAUGGCAGAUUAGGUAGUUGGUGGGGUAAAGGCUCACCAAGCCUUCGAUCUGUAGCUGGUCUGAGAGGACGACCAGCCACACUGGGACUGAGACACGGCCCAG
rnacentral:rRNA from 1 species